CUCAGAGGGGAGCAGCAGGAAGUUGCAAGGAUGUUUGCUCAACACACCCAUGUACCUCUCAGCAGCUGGGAAGGCCAGGUGUGGGGAUGAGGGGACCCCAGGACCAGCCCAGAGGAGGGGCUUACAGGGAGGUAAGGCUGACCACUGCUCCCAAGACUCCCAGCCUGACUUCUGCAUUAAUGCUGAAGUGGAGAGGCAACAGGCCCCCACCCCCAGCCUUUAGAGGAUUUGGGGAGAUUAGAGAAGUAUGUGUGUUUGAAUGUGCCUGUGUGGGUGGGCUUUUUGCAACCCUUGACUGUGUGUGUGUGUGUGUGUGUGUGUGUGUGUGUGUGUGUGUGUGUGUAUGUGUGUGACCAAAGGAAGGACCAAGGCACUAUAGCCUUAGAAUCACCAGAAAAAAAU
rnacentral:lncRNA from 1 species